rnacentral:rRNA from 1 species
AGUGAACGCUGGCGGUAGGCCUAACACAUGCAAGUCGAACGGCAGCACAGUAAGAGCUUGCUCUUACGGGUGGCGAGUGGCGGACGGGUGAGGAAUACAUCGGAAUCUACUUUUUCGUGGGGGAUAACGUAGGGAAACUUACGCUAAUACCGCAUACGACCUACGGGUGAAAGCAGGGGAUCUUCGGACCUUGCGCGAUUGAAUGAGCCGAUGUCGGAUUAGCUAGUUGGCGGGGUAAAGGCCCACCAAGGCGACGAUCCGUAGCUGGUCUGAGAGGAUGAUCAGCCACACUGGAACUGAGACACGGUCCAGACUCCUACGGGAGGCAGCAGUGGGGAAUAUUGGACAAAGGGCGCAAGCCUGAUCCAGCCAUACCGCGUGGGUGAAGAAGGCCUUCGGGUUAUAAAGCCCUUUUGUUGGGAAAGAAAAGCAGCAGGUUAAUACCCCGCUGUUCUGACGGUACCCAAAGAAUAAGCACCGGCUAACUUCGUG